AAGGAAAAACAAGACAGAAAUCACAGAGUGCUCUGUGAGCAUACUUUACAGAUAAUUUCCCAAAGGAGCCAAUGUCUCUCCACAGCUUGGGAAGGACUCAAUAAUCUCUUAGAGGACUGACCCUGAAAUGGGCUCACUGUAUUCAGGGGCCUGAAGGAGUCAAUUUUUUAAUAUUCCUUUUCAUUAGUCUUUCCAUUUUAAUUGGCUAUGAGCAGAAUGUCUCUUUGAAGAAAUAUAAUGCAAAGGAAGAAGAAUUAAGGAUCGCAAGCAAGUUCCACGUAUCUAAAAAUGAGACAUUUUCUUUUUGGACUGUAUUUCUCUUGCAUUUUUAAAUUAAAUUUUCUUUUACUCCCCCCCCCAUUUUCACGAAAUUACUACUCCAUGAUAAUGGCAUAUUAGUUUUGUUCUUAUUCUCUUAAUAUUCCCUAUAAUUUUUUAACCCCAAAAAUUCUGUCCUUUUGUCAGUUUUCCCAAAGUAUCUGUAUUUUUCUCUUCUUUAUACAGCUUACUUUGUUCACCUACAAACUUUAUAUGUAUUCACGUGCAAAAAAAAAAUGUAAGCACUUUAAUGUAAAUUUUAAAAAAGUAAAUUUUUAAAAAGUAAAUAAGUAUUGCUCACAACUAGAUAUGCCUUGGUAAAAUCACCUUAAAAAGAGAAAAGAUGAGGGAAACCAUCAAAGAAGCUACUGCUUAGUAUUUUGAAAGUAGAUGAAUCUUGAACAGUGUCUAGAAAAUCAGAAAACCAAAAUUAUAAGGAAUUUAAGAGCCAUGUAUUGUAUGAUGCUCUCACAAAACUUGGUAGAAAAACCCAUAAAUGUGUCAUUCUGCAGCACUAGCAUACAGCAAGAAACAUAACUCCUUUUAACAGGACCCAGCACAAUUCUGAAAGGGCCAAAGAGAUCAGGAGAGCUAUGGCAUGGAUAUCAUGUGUAUCUCUUCUGCUGUCUACAGAGGCUCUUGGAAGGGGAACAAAAAAACCAAAAGCAAACAAACAAACAAAACAAAACAAAACACACACAAAAAAACCAACCAAAAAAUGCAAAAUAAAAAACCAAAACAAACCAAACAAACAAAAAAAACAAAACAAAAACAAACAAACAACAAAAAAAAGAGUAUAACCACGUCUCUUACUCUUACUGUGGUUGACAGACAAAGAAAUGUUGCAACCUGGAUGGCACAGAAGUAAUUGCAAAAAUAUAUUUGCAAGAGAAGAAAUAAAAUAACCCAAAUAUGAUAUGGGAAGCAGAUACCCCCCUUCAUUAAGACUCUGGUAAUUCUUCUAAUUUCAUUUAUUCAGCAAUUGGUGAGCUGUCCUUUUCACCUACAGAUAUGAUGAGUGUUCUGUCGUUUGGCAACAGAUUUACAGUCAAUAAUAUUGAUAGUUUCUCUUUACCUGAAUUGGGAUCUUGCCACUCCUGAACUGUAAGGUUAAUAAAGAUAAUAACUAAAUGUGUUCUGUUUAAUCCGACCAGAGGGCAUAUGGGAAAUCAAAGAAUGAAACAUAGAACUAAACUCUAGUUUAGAAACACAGAACUACUGAUCUAAAUAUAUCAAAAUACAAUGCUACUGCACAUGGCUAAAUAAUUCACUCACCCAUAGGCAUGCAGCUAAUAUAUUACUAUAAUGAUUUAAGUGUUCCUGAGAUGACUCCUUCAAACAUAAAAAGAUUAACAACACAAAAUGCAGCCUAGAAUUUGGCAUUUCAGUUCUGGAAUGAAAUCAGGAUGCUGAGAGAAUGAGGUACUAAAUGCUUUGUGGCUUUGGAAUAUUUCCUUUUAAUCUCAUUAAGCAAAAACAAAAAUGCUUCCUAACUGGAGAAAGAUUUAACAACCCUGAACUUUCAGAAGAAACAGGGACAUGUGCAAAUUUACAGUGGUUUCCAAUUUCUACACAAAUAUUCAAUGAAUCAUUUAGUAAGCAUUUCUGAAUUCUCAAAGACUAGAUAUAAAUAUAAUAAUUUAAUGAACCCAUUCUUCAAACUUACUCAAAUAAUUUUACUUUAUUUUAGAAACCCCCAUGAAUAUCUUCAAGACAAAUCUUUGGCAAACCCUCAGCUGCAGUUAAUUAUUUUAUCCUCUUACGGUUAAACUUUGCUUUAGCUUUGCAUGAUGUGUCUUCCUGCCAAGAUCCGGUCACUAUAAAUGUGUACAUUUUUCACUGGAUUUAUCACUGAUUUUUUUUCUUUAAAUUAUUUUUUAAAAGAAAAUAGCUGUAAUAUUGAGGGCAAAAGCCAUAGUCAUAUACUAAGUCCAACAUUUCCAGGGUUUCUAAAGUUUCUUGUAUAAUUUUUCAAGUCACACAUGACACUUUUAAAUUUUGAUGAGGCAAAAAAUAGAUUUGAAAAAAGCAGCAGUAAUGAAGAUGCACAAACCCCUUUAUUUCUGUUUUUUUUCCCCCCACAUUCUGUAACAAAAAGGAUUAUGAAUUCAAAUAGAAGCUGGCAAAAUUUUCCAGUAAUUCGGCUGCAGAUUAUUGAUUACAAACUUUCUAAAAUCAGAGUGCUGUGCUACUCAGCACUUCUAAAUUAUAGCAGAACUGAGACAUUUGGGGCACAGUGCCACUGGUGGAAACACAGGCUCUAAAAGUCCUUCCAAUGAUAACAAUACUCACCAAAGUUAUGUAGAAAUGUCAUGUUAUCAGAGAGAAAAUAGACAGAAUAUCACGAUCUCUUAAAAAGGGAAGAAACUUUAAACUAUGUUUGUAUUCAAAUAGCUGCCAUUAAUUUUUUUGCUAUACAAUUUUCCUUUUCUGGUUCUGUAGAGGUAAACUUCUUUAUUGUUUCAGCCAUGACUGCAGAAUAUGCCCAUAAGCUGACAUUCAAUUGACAAAAACAUCCAAGUUUUACGGCACCUACCUCAAAGAAAGCUCUGCUGUAGCAAAAGAAAAGAUUACUUGUGUUUUGUGAUGUGACUGAGUAUUUUCUAGUUUGCAUUUCAAAAUAGGCAAAUAAGUCCCAGAGCAGCCAGAUGAGGAAGAAAGAUGGGUUUAUAGGUUGGCCUAACCUUCUCACAUACAUCCUACACUGGCAGCUAUUAAACAGAGUUCUGCAAAACCCUUAUCCCUUCUCAGAAAAUACACACCUGACCAAAAUCUAGGAAUGCUGGAUCAGGCUGUGGAUCAUCAGUACCAUGGAAGGAACAAGAUUUUUUGGACUGGCUUGGCCUAGCUGACAAGUUUGUCUUCCUCAGGAAAAUGAAGGUUUGGAGGCUGCUCACAAAGACAGCAGGUGGCCCAUGUCCAAAUCAGAGAUGAGAGUGAUUAUUUGGAGUCUAUCACAAACCUCUGAUGGUGGCAGGCUACACAGGAGCUUACAGCAUUUGGUGAAUGACUCCAUGGUAUAUUUACAACACGUAAUUCAAGAGCAACUCCACUAAGGAAAUGAUGACCUCUCAUCAGCUUUCCUGGAAAUAAGGUUAAUAUAGUAUCUAAAAUAAGAAAUAAAUGUCUUUUGGAAAAAGACAUUACAUCUUGCUGAUCUUCAUGUUGUUAAUUUUGACAGCUUCUGGUAAUGAGUGAGGUAUUUUCUAGCUAGUUCCUAUACAAUUCAAUUUCUCUGAUUUCAGCGUGGAUAUAUUUCAGUUUUAAUUAUUGUUUGAUUCCAAGCUGUGGAUUUAUUUUUAUUUUAUAUUUCCUAGAGUUUUGCUAUAUAUAAAGCACUUUUUAAGGUAAAAAUAUGGAUUCCAAAUUUUCAGUUCAUUAUUUGUUCAGAUCUUACUAAGUAGUUCCAUUAGGCAGACAAACUGUGAGUGCUGAGCAGCUACUGUUACACAGGAUUUGAAGGGGGAAGACAUAUGACCAAGUUUUCCAAUAACAAUAACCAAGAAAUCUUCAUUCCUCAUUGUGGAAUCUUGGAGGAAGAGGGAAUAAGAGAAAAUAUUGCUGUUACAAUAAUUCACAACAGAUUUAUUCUGAAAGUCUCUGAAUUUAAAAUUAAAAGAAGCCCACAACUAUCUGACUUUGUUUUUCAGUGUGUGAAGAGAGAAAUACCAUGCAUUAAUCUAACAUUUCCUUAUACUUUUAUUUUAUGACAGGUUCAUGUGUAGUUUAACAAAUAUGUCAUUUAGUUUGUAAAGACUCCACAACUUUGUGAAUAGCAUGUAAAAACAUUAUCUUUAAAGCAGUAAACAACAAGUUUCCUGUCUGGCAGCAUUGUUAACAGCAUCAGUGAGUGUAAUUCCUCAGACACAGCUUCAGACCCACAAGGAUGUAAAGACUACCAUUGUUGGCCAUAUUAAGCUAUUUUUUCAUUUACUUUUAACGAAAGAUCAGUUGUUAUUUUAACUACUCUCUCACUGGCUCCACAAAAGCAGUGCUUUUGUCUCUAUAAAACUUCCAGAGUUCCAGAAACCAAAAUCAACACCUGUGCAUACAGUGAGGCUCCACUUGAAAGAAUACAGAUGACAGUCAAUUAACUUACUACUUUAUGUGCUGUUUAUUGUAAUAUUUUUUUCAGUGGUUAAAAGAAUCAGUCUCAAGAUAGUACAUAUGAAAAGAAAUAAAAGUAAUAUUUUGCUCAUACUAAUGAAGACAAGCCAUCAAACUUUGACCUUCUCCUUAGAUUAAUUGUCAUGGUCCUGGUUCAAACGUGAGUGUCAUCAGCAACAGUUUUUUAACAUCAAUUAGGGGGCAUUAAGUAAUUAAUAAUCCUUAAUAAUUUCUACUGAUCUACAGAUAAAUAUUCUCAAUCAGUAAAAAAAAUAUUCU